rnacentral:lncRNA from 1 species
CCGCCAUCUCCCAUGCUAAGCCUUAACGGUCUGAUAUGAGUCUCACGUCUCCAGGCAAUACUGACAUGGCCUCACACAGCUUCUCCAGGACUUGUAUACAGUAAAACUUCGUAGCAGUAAGUGGUCCUCCAUGGCACCAGAGCUGCCUCAGGUUGCCAGAACCCUCCUAUUCCACAACAAACUGAACUGAAACACCAUGGAAUAUUCCACUCGGAACCCAAACCAGCACCUGGCAACCAGGUGAGAAAAUCAGUGGGGUGACUGUGGGGGAGGAUAGACAGUGCUUCCCAAAUGUCUUCAUGUCAUAUCACACAGAAGGUGGCUGCUCUUGGCCAGAGGACACUGGUCACUAGGAGUGUGUCUAUCCUAGCUCCUGCUCAGCAAGCACAAAGUCUGAGAGAUAGAUGUUUUUAAGUACGUGUGCUAUUUGAGGACCACUGACAAAGACUCUCAAAAAAAUAAUGUAAGUGACUCAAAUAAAGCUUAAAGGCUUUAUUCAGCUGAUGCACAUCAGGGACCACUUGAAUACCAGAAGACUCCCUGAUUGACACAGAAAAGUUGACUAUGUAUCCUUGUGUUUUUGGCUUAUGUAGCAGUUUUCUACCUUAACCCAAAAUUGCUGUUGACAGUUAUUUCUGGUUCCAUGCCUCCUUCAUGCUAAUCACCAUCAGAAUGAUAUUUUCUGAGAACUGUGUUUGCAAGCAUUGAGGUUCAUCGGCUAGUCGAAGUUCAUGAGUGGGGGAGCUCUCAAGUGUGGUUGUAGAAGAAUGAAGAGUCUCAUUCUUGCUAUCAGUAACUCAUCAACUUGAAUUUCAAAUGCAACAAUUCAAGGAGAAACAAAUGGAAUUUGAAAGUCUUCAAAUAUCAAGGAUUUAUAGUCAUGCCAUAAUGGUCCCCAUCUCCAUACUCAGUCACUGAUCUUCAUGUUGCUCCAUUCUCAAGCAUAAUACAAAAACUGCUAUUUCCUGGCAGACUAAGGGCAUAGAAUAUCAUAACUAGUCAAAUAUUCAGUUAACAAUGAGUUACCAUAACUAGAAUCACCAUCUCGUUUUUGUCUGCUUGUAAAUAUCCAUUAGGAGAAUUGCUCCUGACUAAGGAACCUUGAUCACAUGGCUGGUCAUGUGACCCAAACCCCUAAUUGGAACUUUGUUAUCUGUCCAUGAUUUUCCUGAAAGAUGCUGUUUUCCCUCUGCCCACCUCCUCUUCUCUCCCAUUGCAGCUGGGUCCAUGCCAAUACAGAAGUUAAGGUGUGUGUGUUAAGGGUGGAAGUGAGUAGCUGGGCUGAGAAGCUGGUAUCUAUCUAAAGGCUUCUAUGUCUAAAAUGAACAAAGUAGAUCUCUUACAUCCCUGGUCUGGGUGACUCAUGAUCACUCUUCUGCUGUUACCAAUACUAUCAACUGCUCUUGAUCUUAACGUCUACAGAUCCAAGUCUGCAGGUCAGCAGAAAGGAAAGCCCCCCAUCUUCCUCAAAUCAUUCAAAAUCUUCAGAUCCUGGGGAAGUUUUGCAUUCGAACAUCAGAUAGAAAGAGAAAGUUAAAAGUAUGUUAUAGUAAUAGAUCCUAGUUUUCUGCUGCCUUUGCUCCUGUCAUUGCCACAUUGUAUCACUAUUAGAAAUGAGCAUCAGAAUAAAUGGACAAAAAAAAUCAAUGGAAUAGAACAGAAAGUCCAGAAAUAGACCCAAGUCCAUUUGGAAAUGUCCUUUUAAUAAAAGUGUUAUCUCAAAUUACUGGAACAAAAAUGUAUUUUUUCCUUUUUUCUUUUGAAGAAGAUGAGCCCUGAGCUAACAUCCACAGCCAAUCCUCCUCUUUUUACUGAGGAAGAUUGGCCCUGAGCUAACAUGUGUGCCCAUCUUCCUCUAUUUUAUAUGUGGGAUGCCUG